rnacentral:tRNA from 1 species
AAGGUUUUAAGUUAAAAUAAACUAAUAGUCUUCAAAAUUAUUUUAUAAAGAAAUAUUCUUUAAGCCUUA